rnacentral:rRNA from 1 species
GAUGAACGCUGGCGGCGUGCCUAAUACAUGCAAGUCGAGCGAACGGACGAGAAGCUUGCUUCUCUGAUGUUAGCGGCGGACGGGUGAGUAACACGUGGAUAACCUACCUAUAAGACUGGGAUGACUUCGGGAAACCGGAGCUAAUACCGGAUAAUAUUUUGAACCGCAUGGUUCAAAAGUGAAAGACGGUCUUGCUGUCACUUAUAGAUGGAUCCGCGCUGCAUUAGCUAGUUGGUAAGGUAACGGCUUACCAAGGCAACGAUGCAUAGCCGACCUGAGAGGGUGAUCGGCCACACUGGAACUGAGACACGGUCCAGACUCCUACGGGAGGCAGCAGUAGGGAAUCUUCCGCAAUGGGCGAAAGCCUGACGGAGCAACGCCGCGUGAGUGAUGAAGGUCUUCGGAUCGUAAAACUCUGUUAUUAGGGAAGAACAUAUGUGUAAGUAACUGUGCGCAUCUUGACGGUACCUAAUCAGAAAGCCACGGCUAACUACGUG